CAAUAGCGUAUAUUAAAGUUGUUGCGGUUAAAAAGUUCGUAGUUGGAUUUCUGUAAGAUUUGACCCUGCGGUCUAACCGAUGUGCGGUCUACUUCUUACAUACUCUUAGGAUCUCCAUCCGGUGAUACCUGAGAAUGUUACUUUGAGGAAAUUAGAGUGUUCCAGGCAGGCAUAAGCUAUGAAUAUGGUAGCAUGGAAUAACAAUAUAUGGCCUCGGCUUUAUUUUGUUGGUUUCUAGAGCCGAAGCAAUGAUUAAUAGGGACAGUUGGGGCUAUUCGUAUUUUACUGUCAGAGGUGAAAUUCUUGGAUCGGUAAAAGACGAACUACUGCGAAAGCAUCUAGCAAAGAUGUUUUCUUUGA
rnacentral:rRNA from 1 species